UACGGAGGGUGCAAGCGUUAAUCGGAAUUACUGGGCGUAAAGAGCGCGCAGGCGGUCGUUCAAGUCGCGUGUGAAAGCCCCCGGCUCAACUGGGGAGGGUCACGCGAUACUGAUCGACUCGAAGGCAGGAGAGGGUAGUGGAAUUCCCGGUGUAGUGGUGAAAUGCGUAGAUAUCGGGAGGAACACCAGUGGCGAAGGCGACUACCUGGCCUGUUCUUGACGCUGAGGCGCGAAAGCUAGGGGAGCAAACGGG
rnacentral:rRNA from 1 species